rnacentral:rRNA from 1 species
UACAGAGGUCCCAAGCGUUGUUCGGAUUCACUGGGCGUAAAGGGUGCGUAGGCGGUCUGGUAAGUCUGAUGUGAAAUCUCACAGCUUAACUGUGAAACUGCAUUGGAUACUAUCCGGCUUGAGGAAUGGAGGGGAGACUGGAAUACUUGGUGUAGCAGUGAAAUGCGUAGAUAUCAAGUGGAACACCAGUGGCGAAGGCGAGUCUCUGGACAUUUACUGACGCUGAGGCACGAAAGCCAGGGGAGCAAACGGG